rnacentral:rRNA from 1 species
CUGUUAGUGGAGUGGCAAAAGUUCUUUGGAAUAGGACAUCAUAGAGGGUGAGAAUCCCGUAUUUGGUCAUUCCUCCUAGCGUUGUGAUACACUUUCAACGAGUCGGAUUGUUUGGGAAUGCAGUCCAAAAUGGGUGGUAAAUUUCAUCUAAAGCUAAAUAUUGGCGAGAGACCGAUAGCGAACAAGUACCGUGAGGGAAAGAUGAAAAGAACUUUGAAAAGAGAGUUAAACAGUACGUGAAAUUGUCAAAAGGGAAGCGUUUGACACCAGUGUUGUUUUUCCGAAAAUCAAUUACGAAUGUUUUAUUUUUGAGGAGUUAUGACUUCAUCGGCUUGCUCCUUUCUUUAUGAAACUUUCUUAAUGCACUUUUCGGUUAACAAGUCAACAUCAAUUUCUUUUGUUGUAAAAGGGUAUGAGGAAGGUGGCUUUCUUUUCGGAGAAAGUGUUUAUAGCCUUGUGCCUCUGCAAUCGGAGAGAUUGAGGUCUGCAGCGUAGAUCCUUCGGGGUUAGAUACGUUUGUGCUAAGUUAUAGCUUUUCAUAGACAACUUGUUGACUAUGUUUAGUCUUGUAGCUUACUCGCUUACGCUA